rnacentral:pre_miRNA from 12 species
GGUGGAGGGUCUCCUCCCGCGGCCUCAGCCUCCACCCGGGGCUCUGUCCGGACCAGGAGGCUAAGGCCCCUCACGGCGGCUGCUUACUCU